rnacentral:rRNA from 1 species
UACGUAGGGGGCAAGCGUUGUCCGGAUUUAUUGGGCGUAAAGAGCGUGUAGGCGGUUUGGUAGGUCCGCUGUGAAAACUCGAGCUCAACUUCGAGACGCCGGUGGAAACCAUCAGGCUAGAGUCCGGAAGAGGAGAGUGGAAUUCCUGGUGUAGCGGUGAAAUGCGCAGAUAUCAGGAAGAACACCCGUGGCUAAGGCGGCUCUCUAGUACGGUACUGACGCUGAGACGCGAAAGCGUGGGGAGCGAACAGG